AACAUCAACCACCACAACUGGAAGACACAUAAAAAAAACUUUUUCACAUAUAAUUAACAAUUAUAAUGUUAAAAUAUAAUUAUCCACAUCAACAUAUGUAAUCAUUUGAAUUUUUUGUUUUGCAUUAUGACAAACAACAAACAUUAACCACACAGCAAACAAUACACCACGCCUUCAACACUACCGAGACAAAAUGGGGAAACUGAAGAGUAGAAACGAAUGAAUAAACC
rnacentral:lncRNA from 1 species